GCAAGUCCAGUUGGCUCCACAAGCUUGAGCUCACCAUUUCUCACCAGCUCCACCGCUACCUCCAAGUAAAAGAAAUGGCUGAAAUCCUUUGGAACCAAUAUGACCAACUGGAGUCGGUGCAGAAGGAGCUUGCUGACAACGCAGCCUGAAUUUCCACCCUAUGUUUCAUACCAACUCCCCCUGAAUUUGCACAUGUGAUACAUGAGAUAGCAUGAA
rnacentral:lncRNA from 10 species